GACGAACGCUGGCGGCGUGCUUAACACAUGCAAGUCGAGCGGAAAGGCCCUUUCGGGGGUACUCGAGCGGCGAACGGGUGGGUAACACGUGAGUAAUCUGCCCCUGGCUUUGGGAUAGCCACCGGAAACGGUGAUUAAUACCGAUACGACCACUUCUCGCAUGGGAUGGUGGUGGGAAGUUUUUCGGCCAGGGAUGUGCUCGCGGCCUAUCAGCUUGAUGGUGAGGUAAUGGCUCACCAUGGCUUCGACGGGUAGCCGGCCUGAGAGGGUGACCGGUCACACUGGGACUGAGACACGGCCCAGACUCCUACGGGAGGCAGCAGUGGGGAAUAUUGGACAAUGGGCGGAAGCCUGAUCCAGCAACGCCGCGUGAGGGAUGACGGCCUUCGGGUUGUAAACCUCUUUCAGCAGGGACGAAGCGCAAGUGACGGUACCUGCAGAAGAAGCACCGGCCAACUACGUGCCAGCAGCCGCCGCCG
rnacentral:rRNA from 1 species